rnacentral:rRNA from 1 species
AUUGAACGCUGGCGGCAUGCCUUACACAUGCAAGUCGAACGGCAGCACGGGAGCAAUCCUGGUGGCGAGUGGCGAACGGGUGAGUAAUAUAUCGGAACGUGCCCAGUCGUGGGGAUAACGUAGCGAAAGCUACGCUAAUACCGCAUACGAUCUAUGGAUGAAAGCGGGGGGAUCGCAAGACCUCGCGCGAUUGGAGCGGCCGAUAUCAGAUUAGGUAGUUGGUGAGGUAAAGGCUCACCAAGCCGACGAUCUGUAGCUGGUCUGAGAGGACGACCAGCCACACUGGGACUGAGACACGGCCCAGACUCCUACGGGAGGCAGCAGUGGGGAAUUUUUGGACAAUGGGCGCAAGCCUGAUCCAGCAAUGCCGCGUGCAGGAUGAAGGCCU